UUUCUUUCUUUCUUUCUUUCUUUCUUUCUUUCUUUCUUUCUUUCUUUCUGUGGUCCGCUAUUGGUUUGAUCUUUCUUUCUUUCUUUCUUUCUUUCUUUCUUUCUUUCCUAAUGUAAGAGACACUAUGCAAGACUCUUCGGAUGCAGAAGGAAUGUAUUGUGGACCCUGCCUUUGAAUUGCUCACAGCUUCAGGGGAAACAGACAUAUACAUAGACGUAUGUAUAAAUAAUAGAGUAUCAAGAAUGCUGGGGGGGGAGGGAAUUACAUGGGUGGUCAGAAUAUAAAUCUCAUGAAGGAGACAUUUGAGUGAAGGGAUGAAGGAGGUGAAGGGGUUGGAUAUGAGGAUAUCUGGGGGAAGGGCAUUUUAGGUAGCAGGAACAGCUUGUGCAAAGGCCCUGAGGCUGGUGCUGGCGGGGCAUGUUUAGGAAACCGCAGGGAAGCCUGUGUGGCUGGAGCAGUGUGAGAAAGAGGGAAAGUGAUAGGAGAUGGGGGCAGGGACUGGAGUAUGAUUACUUCUGCCCAAGGCUCUCGGACAAGAGUUCAGGAGGCGCAGACAUGGGCAGGGCUUUGAAGAUGGGGUAGAAUGUUCCUGCUGGAGAAGACAGGGAAAGGUGUAUGUGGCCAAGGGAACAAACUGGUAAAAGUAAGCAGACUGUGUGGAGAACGGUGAGUGGUCUGGUAUGACUGUGGCCCCAGGCCUUGCCACUCACGGAAGUGUGACGUACAGAAUGGCGGCAUCAGCCAUCACCCAGGAGCCUGUUAGAAAUGCAGAGUUGUGGGUUUCUUUGCAGACCUUCUGGGGCGGGAUGUGCGUUGCAACAAGACAGGUGGUUUGUGAGCGCAUGACAGUUUGAGAAGCUCUGGCUAGGGUAAGUCUUUGGUUUCAAACCCCGGGGUUCCUUGCAGGUGCCUCCAGCGCUAGUGGGAGGGGCCGAGCUGGUGGGGGGGAUUUAGCCGCUACGGCAGCUUCCUCCAGAACAGCUUGUUUUUGUCAUCAUCGUCUUUUAUGUGAUUUUUUUUUAAUAGUCUCCACGCCCAGCAUGGGGCUUGAACUCACAGCCCUGAGAUUAAGAGUUGCGUGCUUUACCGACUGAGCCAUCCAGUGCCCCCUCAUCAUCAUCUUUUUUGUUUUAAGUUUAUUUAUUUUGAGAGAGAGAAGGACAGAGAGAAUCCCAAGCACACCCUGGGUUGUCAGCGCAGAGCCCGACGCGGGGCUCGAUCCCACGAACUGUGAGCUCAUGAGCUGAGCCGAAAUCAAAAGCUGGACUCUCAACUGACUGAGCCACCCAGGCGCCCCUCAUCAUCACCUUUCAAAACAUUUUUGAUUGGAGGCACCGAAUACGUACUGUGUAUGUGUAAGGGCAGAUAACGUACAGGGGGAAAUGAUUCUACAACCAAGAAGCUUGAAAACCACACAGGUAAAUGAUAGGGAAUGUUUAGCAAAUGGUAGAAAAGGUGGUUGCAGGUCAGAUUUUAAAGGGCUCAGUAGCUGAUGUUUGCCACUGAAAAACUCGACAACAGUUCUGAUGAGGGCCACUGUAAAAUGUACUGUAAAGCGUACUGUAUGCUCUUUGAAACUGUUUCUUACCUUUUCUCUCUCCCUAACUUUCCCUCUAGCGUCUUCUCCCUUUACCCUCUUCCAGCUGGUAACCUUUAAUGCUUUGGAAGACAUUGGCCCAGGGGCGCCUGGGUAGCUCAGUCAGUUAAGCGUCCGACUUUGGCUCAGGUCCUGAUCUCUCGGUUUGUGGGUUCCAGCCCCAUGUCCGGCUCUGUGCCGACAGCUCAGAGCCUGGAGCCUGCCUCGGAUCCUGUGUACUCUCUCUCUCUGCCCUUCCUCCGCUCAUUCUCUGUCUCUCAAAAAUGAAUAAAAAUGUAAAAAAAAAAAAAAAAAAAUUUUUUUUUUUGUUUUUGUUUUAAAGAAGACAUUGGCCCCAUAGAAGCCCACUGACUUCCAUUCUUCCCACCAUGCAGUCUGCUAACUUUUGUUUUUCUGAAUGCCAUUAGGCCAGAGACAUGCUGGAGGGCCGCACCGUCCAGGUUGGAAGCCACUAGUCACACAUGACUAAUUCAAUUGCAUUGAAUUAAAAUAAAAUCUGGAACGUUCAGUUUCUCUUACCGAGUGCCCCACAGCCACACGUGGGCAGUAGCUCCUGAGCGGGACGUUACAUCCUCACGUUGGUGUCCACUCUGUUUCUCUGUUCCUUUUUCUAGCAGUUGCGCGGCCUUGUCUCCUGCUCCUGCCUCCUGUAAUCUGUCUGUCGCUGCUGCCUCCCUCCCCUGCCAUUCUCUCUCGAACCUGCUGUAGCCUCGGUUUCAUUUCAUCUUCCCCGCUGCAAGGAACCAGCACCAGCGAUGCUCCUGGUUUCAGAUCCCCAGGACCCCUUCUCGUGUCUUUUCCUGCUUUCCUUCGGCCUCACCCGCUACCCUCCUUAGGUACCUGACCAGCUUCCUCCUCCUUUACCCAACCUCUGAAAGCUGGAAGGUCCCAGGACUCUUUCCAGGGUCUUCUCUAACUAGGCACAUUUUAUCUACACGAUCUUAUUUAGUCUUGUGGCAUUUCAUGCUGAUGACUAAGAAGUUUUUAUCUUCAGCUCUGAGUCCCCUGCUGGGCUCCAUAUUCAGUUUCCUACCAGAUACCUUCCCUCGAAUGCCAAGCAGGCAUCUCAGAAGUGACCCACACAGGGCUCUUCUCCUCCUCCCCUGCUGCUGCCUGCCCCAGGCCACUUUCUCCCCCCAUCCGUGAACGGACCACCAUCUCCCCGGCUGUUCAAGCCAAAAAAAACCUUGGUGCCGACCUUGAUUCUUCUCGUGUUCUCACCACUACCAUUUCCAAGUCCUGCGUAUUUCUCUCUUUGCAUAUAAAUUCCCUCUCUGCCGAAACACUGCAGGCCCGCCUGAUUUCACCCUUGCCCUGUUUCACUUCAAAUCCUCUAUACUGGUAGCAGAGCGAUCUCUCUGAAACAUAAAUGAUAUCCUGUCACUCCACUUCUUCAGUGAGAACCUUCCAGAAGCUUCGUGUUGCAUCGUGAGUAAACCCCAGACUCUCCUCUGUGGUUUGCAAGGUCUUCCUGGCCCGGCCCCUGCUUCUUUCUUUGUCUCACCCCUUCCUGCUGUCUCCACGACUUGCUUGUUCCGGCCACGCUGGGCUUUUUCUGUUCCUUAAACAAGCCAAACUCGGGGCAGCCGCAGACCUUCCGCAUUUACUUUCCUCUUUGGAAUGUUCUUCCUUCAAGUCUUUGAAUGGCUGUCAUUUUAGUCUCCCAGCUAAAGGGCUGUCUUCUUGGAUGGCCCCUCCAACUUCCUCCACUCAUGUUACUCUUGUUUUCUCUGAGACACCUCACACCAUCGGAAACUGAGUUGUUUACAUGUUGAUUACUUAUUUCCCCCCAACUAAGAUGUUCAAUUCCACGGCAGACGAGGCUGCCUAAUUUACUCGAUCCCCGGACCUAGAACAGCGCCCGUUUGCAGUGGGCGCCCAGUAAAUACCUACUGAAAUGACUGGAUGGAGCUGGAUUCUGUAAACUGUAGGCCAGGAGUGCUCCGCUGGUAUUCUGUGAGCCUCUCCACGUUCAACUUUCAUCCACACGUAAAACUCAUGUUUGCUAUGAUCGAGCACGGUAUUUACAGCAUUUUGCUGAGCGGGUUGGGCAGUGAGAGCGGGGGAACUUGGUGCAAGUCAGCGAUAAGAGGUAUGGGGUGAGCCCAAGCCGAGGCCAGAGAACGAGCUUUGUUUACAGCGGCGUGCAAGAGCUUUGCCUUGAGCACAGAGCAGAGACGGUGCAGCCAGUAAAGCACUUCUUUCGUAGAAUGUCACGGUGUUGAAGGGCCACCAAGAGAAUUGUGUGAAGACUGAAUGCGUUCCCGAACAAUCUGAGGUGCUAUCGUAGAGAAGAGUGCACCGCAGUGUUCUUUCCGGUUUAUUCCCUGUAGUUUGGGUCUUUUAAUGACUUCAGGUAUGCCUCUAAGAAUUCUAGUAUUCAGAAGCGUGCCAUAAAUUAAAUUUGAGAUUCUUUAACUGAUGGAAAAAUAGUGCUAAUCCCAAUAUCCCGAAUCUUUGUGGGUAUUAUUCCACUGUGUUGUAUUUCUGCUGGUUCUUAUUCAUGGUGGGUCCUUCCCAUAUUUGCUUGGUUAUUUUUGGCUAUGAGCUGCUCAUUUUCCUCAGACAAUUACUUGGGGGGGAAUUCUUUGAGUCUCAGGGUGAAAGUGUGUCCCUUUAGAGAGGAUUGCUUGUCUUUGCCACGUGGCAAAAGGGGUGGCCAGGGGUGCUAUAAAUCAAGGCCAUUUUGAACUAACUCACAGCUUGGAAUUUUCUGAAUGUCACGGUGAUACAAAUUUGGGCUGCAGUCCCCUGGGGGGAGUGAAAUGGGUUUGUUUUUGAUGUGUACUUACCCUGAGAGUGCAACCCUUUUGGAUUCUAGCCUCAAGCAGAAAGGGUUUAGAUCCCCACCCCACCCCUCCUUGGAUAGGCUCUAGGCUCUGACUUCGGUUUAUCUCAACCCUGGAGACCAUCAGAGCCCUGAGGGCCAAAAUGGCUUAUGGGACUAAGCUGACUGCUCUUCCUUAGACUUUGGCAAGCUAACUCUUGCCUCCUCGGUGCUUUGGUGUCUUUAAGAUCAUGUUUAAAACACACUGUCUUCCUGGAUGUUUAGUCGUUGCCAGCAGCAGUGUUGAUCUCCAAAACCCCGUUCUACUCCACUAGCGGAAAUAGAGAUCAAGCGGCAGAGUUUCUCCAUUGAGGGGAAUGGCAGGCAUUAAGGGACAGGUCAGAGCCUGCCAUGGUCCUGGGGCAGGAUCCUUCAGUCAGAGACUCCAUGCCACGGGAGGAGAGACUCCCAGGGGGACACUGCGGUCCUGUGGGAGUGGCAGUAAAGACAAAGGGUGUGCCUGAGGGAUGUUUUGGAAGUAAAAUCAACUGGAUUGGGUAGGAGGGAGUAGAGGACAGCUCUGGGGUUUCUGGCUUGGUUGCCUAAAUAGUUUUCUUACCAUUCUUGGUCUAUUAUUGUUACCUUUUGGGCGAUUAGCCAACAGGAGUCUGUAUUAACAGUGCUUAUGUAACUAAUAUGUGGAAAUGAUUAUAUUUCUAAUUUUGAACUUUUCACAGAUGUUUCAAUUUAUAGAUCAAUCCAGCAUUUGAUGGAUAACUCAGCAUUUGAUGUCCCCAAUCUGAACAGAAUCCUGAAUUGUGGGGUUUUUUAAAUUUUUUUUUUUUAUGUUUAUUUAUUUUUGAGAGAGACAGAGAGAGAGAAAAUGAGAAUGAGUGGGGGUGGGGCAGAGAGAGGGAGACACAGAAUCUGAAGCAGGCUCCAGGCUCUGAGCCGUCAGCACAGAGCCCGAUGGGGGGCUUGAACCCACAAACCGUGAGAUCAUGGCGUGAGCUGAAGUUGGAUGCUCAACCGACUGAGCCACCCAGACGCCCCUAGAGACUUUACACUCCUACAGGGAAGAUGUGAACAAGGUGGUAAAAUGGUAUAUUAACAGAAGGUUCAUUUGGUUGUAAAUGACAGUCAAGAAAGUCUGAUGAGCUGAAGGAAAAAUGGGGUUACUGGGUCACUCGUGGAGCAGAAGGGCAGGACCCUUAACUGAGCCUCACAUAGGCUAAGACCCAAAGUGGCUCCUUUCCCACUGUCUGUCUGAUCUUGGCGUCACUUUCUGCGAACCUUUUCCCUGAGGAUGUUGUCGUUUCUCAGCUGCUUUAUGGAAGUCGGCCCCACACAGCUUCUAAACUUAUUUGUCCCCAGAUCCAGGUCCUUUAAGAUGGCAAUUAGCCACUCUGCAUCCUAACUUCGGAUUUCUCAAGAGUGAUAGAAAGGAGGAGGGGCAGAAAGGGAGUCGGUGGCCAUCAGGUCCAGCCAGCUGUCACCACGGGGAGCCGGGCUGCCCAUGGCACUUGAAUGGAGCGGCCGGAGACAGUCCUCAAGCCUCGGAAUCCUCCUGGGUAGCCCCCCUCCCCCCAGGUUGUGUGCACAGACAACAAAAGAUUGAUAAACCGCCCCGGGGGACAGGUAGUCCUAUUUGAGUUGGAUCUCGAAGAGUGAAUUGUCAUUAGCCUGGUGUAGAGACCAGCGACAACAGGUUGUUGGCAGAGUGAAAGGUAUGUACAAAAGGCCUGCGUCAUUUUCAGGGAACUGCUGAGCCUUUUGGGGGGGGAGGGUUCUAUUACUCUUCCCGUCUUCUAUUUUUAUGGUCUUAUUCAUGUUGCAUUCUUCCGUACGUAUUUCUAGCGGCAUUACUUCUGUUUGCAUUAAUUUCUUUAGGCUGGGAUUAGAAUCGUAGGUGCCAGACAGCCUAGCAUUUCAGAGCGUAGCGUUAUCUGGAGUUGCAAUAAGCAUGCUUCGUUUGUGUUUCCUCAGCCGGCACUUUGAGGAAGGUGUUCUGGACGACAGCCCCCCGGACGGCCUCUGUGGCAUGGCACGUGACCAUGCCCACACAGCCUGCCCGAGGGGGCCCGGGUGCCAGGGGCAGGUGUGGGCUGGAACCAGUACCGCCACCUGGGCACCCCGGCGAGGGGCUGCCUUGGCCAGAAACAGGCACCCUCUCCAUAACUUGCCUGCACAGAGGAAGCUCCUUUUUCGAUGUGCACAGAGGUGCCCUGGGUGCCAGCGGCUGCCCUGCUUUGCCCCGCUUUUCUCCGCUCACGCGUCCGAAAUUCCUCACGUCCAGUUCGUGAGUGUUGGUGGCCUCGAGGAAGCUUUCUUUCAGGUGCUGCUCAGGCUGGACAGAAGAAAAGGGGAUUUAUGAAGUUCCCAUACCGAUUCGAACCUGCUUUAGGAAAUGGGUCGUUAUGCCGUCGUCUUUUCUGCUGCGCGCGUGUUUCUAUAGUGCAAAUUAGUUGACCCACGAUUGGUAAAUAGGGAGUGAUGGCACACGCUGUGGACAUUGGUGCAUACGCAGCUUUCCGUGAGCGUGUCCCCGCUGAGGGCAGCGGAUGCAACGGACACUAACAAACAGCCAGGGGCCGCAGCCCCGGUAGGACAGCAGGACUGCGCCCCUUACUCAUCCCCGCUUCUUCCUCUGGACUCAACAGGUGCUCAGUCUUAGAAGUAGUAAUUUUGUGGUUCUCCCCAAUCUUUCUGCGUUUUGUCCUAAUCUUUGUACCUUGCGAGCCCAGUCGGUUCUCACAUUCUUUCCACGGGGUGAUCUUCACAAUUGUAUUUUUAUUAUGUAGUCAUUCAUUUAUCCAAGUUUAUUUAUUUUUGAGAGAGAGGGAGGGAGAGCAUGGGGGAGGGGCAGAGAGAGAGGGGGACAGGGGAUCCGAAGCAGGAGGCACAUUGACAGCAGCGAGCCCGACGCGGGGCUUGAACCCACAAACCGUGAGACCAUGACCUGAGCUGACGUGGGACGCUUAACCGACCGAGCCACCCAGGCACCCCCACAGUCGUAUGUCUUUAAAAGAUAAAGUCCAUUCUGUAUACAGUUGGAAUCAAACAGUUUUGGAGACCCAAGUGUGUAUUUUUAGCAUUUUAUUUGUUAAGUGUUCUGGUGAUAGAAUUCCAUAGGUUUUCAGUGGUUUUCUUUGUGUACACAGAACUUAGUUUUUCAGAAUACCAAUCACACUAUGACAGAAACGUGUGUAUUUACAAUUUUUGUCCCAUAGCUCUAUACCCAGGCUGGAAUCCCCCUUUGCCCACACAACACGCGGUCCUUGUUAUUGUUUUCUUCGCUGCCAGGGAUAACCAGCUACAACGGCGAUGGAAGCGUUACCGACUGAGUCAUCCGUAGUCUUAAAAGUUUGGAGACCCAUCUAAGCUACCGGAAACUUAAUUUCUUUCUUUCUUUUUUUUUUUUAAGUUUAUUUAUUAAUUUUGAGAGAGAUGUGGGAGGGGCAGAGAGCGAGGGAGAGAGAACCCCAAGCAGGCUCCGUGCUGCCACCGCAGAGCCUGAUGCAGGGCCUCGAUCUCCCGAACCGAGAGAACAUGACCUGAGCCUAAACCAGCAAGAGUCGGACGCUGAGCCACCCAGGUGCCCCUAAACUUAAUUUCUUUGUGGUCCUCUUGAAUUUCCUUAGUAAUCCCCUUCCCGCCUGCCCACGCUGCUGUCCCACUGUCCUCUGCUCAGGUGCCUCUUGUGUUCACGUAUCUUUCGCCAGGUCUGCCCUGACUCCUCAAGUUUCCAUGGUCCCAGAUUACCUGUCUCAAUGUGCUGCUGACCAACCUUACGUUCUGGAAAAUUUGCUGCAGCUGUCUUCUGGGCCCACAAUCCCGAGAGGAAACUUUCUUUUCAACUGACCCCUCCCUCACAGAACCAGGCUUUUACGAUAACAUUAGGACUUGGAACGUGUUUCCUCUUAGAAACAAAUAGCCAACUGAAAAAUGAAUGUCUGGAACGCAACCCAUUCACAAAUUGGAUUCUGUCUGCACACAGAUGAAAAGUUCAAAUGCUUUGGCAUAGAAAGAACUGUUCAGAAACAAUUACGAUAAACCCAUAAGGCACUUGCUUUUUUUUUUUUUUUUUUU